rnacentral:rRNA from 1 species
AGUAGACGCUGGCGGUAGGCCUAACACAUGCAAGUCGAACGGCAGCACAGUAAUAGCUUGCUCUUACGGGUGGCGAGUGGCGGACGGGUGAGGAAUACAUCGGAAUCUACUUUUUCGUGGUUGAUCACGUAGGGAAACUUACGCUAAUACCACAUACGACCUACAGAUGAAAGCAAGGGAUCUUCGGACCUUGCGCGAUUGAAUGAGCCGAUGUCGGAUUAGCUAGUUGGCGGGGUAAAGGCCCACCAAGGCGACGAUCCGUAGCUGGUCUGAGAGGAUGCUCAGACACACUGGAACUGGGACACGGUCCAGACUACUACGAGAGGCAGCAGUGGGGAAUAUUGGCCAAUGGGCGCAAGCCUGAUCCAGCCACACCGCGUGGGUGAAGAAGGCAUUCGGGUUGUAAAGCCCUUUUGUUGGGAAAGAAAAGCAGAAGGUUAAUACCCCGCUGUUCUGACGGUACCCAAAGAAUAAGCACCGGCUAACUUCGUG